AACGAACGCUGGCGGCAGGCUUAACACAUGCAAGUCGAACGCCCCGCAAGGGGAGUGGCAGACGGGUGAGUAACGCAUGGGAACAUACCCUUUCCUGCGGAAUAGCUCUGGGAAACUGGAAUUAAUACCGCAUACGCCCUACGGGGGAAAGAUUUAUCGGGGAAGGAUUGGCCCGCGUUGGAUUAGCUAGUUGGUGGGGUAAAGGCCUACCAAGGCGACGAUCCAUAGCUGGUCUGAGAGGAUGAUCAGCCACAUUGGGACUGAGACACGGCCCAAACUCCUACGGGAGGCAGCGGUGGGGAAUAUUGGACAAUGGGCGCAAGCCUGAUCCAGCCAUGCCGCGCGAGUGAUGAAGGCCUUAGGGUUGUAAAGCUCUUUCACCGAUGAAGAUAAUGACGGUAGUCGGAGAAGAAGCCCCGGCUAACUUCGUGCCAGCAGCCGCCGUAAUAC
rnacentral:rRNA from 1 species